AGCGUAGACGGCAAGGCAAGUCUGAUGUGAAAGCCCGGGGCUCAACCCCGGUACUGCAUUGGAAACUGUCGUACUAGAGUGUCGGAGGGGUAAGCGGAAUUCCUAGUGUAGCGGUGAAAUGCGUAGAUAUUAGGAGGAACACCAGUGGCGAAGGCGGCUUACUGGACGGUAACCGACGUUGAGGCUCGAAAGCGUGGGGAGCAAACA
rnacentral:rRNA from 1 species